AAGAACACACGGGUCCUGGCUUUGGGCAGCGCCACAGUACCAGUUUUCGGAUAUCGAAUUCUUCUUUCUCUCAUUGAUCUGGAUUGGAGAUUAGGGAUUUCAAUCUGCUGCGGCUGAUCUUGGUUCAGCUGAGGGUUUUAAGGAGGAAGCUGUUAAGGACUUUGACGCGAGACGAGCAUCUUGAUGUCGAGUUUGGACCGGAUACGAUUCUUUCC